CACUCAGGGGGGGGGCCCUCAACCCAGAUUGUGAGAGGGUGCUGGCUAGGUUGAGGGACCCCACCAGUGCAGG
rnacentral:pre_miRNA from 1 species